rnacentral:rRNA from 1 species
UGCAGUCGAACGAGAAAGCUCCUUCGGGAGUGAGUAGAGUGGCGCACGGGUGAGUAACGCGUGGAUAAUCUACCUACGAGUUCGGGAUAACUUCGCGAAAGUGGAGCUAAUACCGGAUGGUCUGGCAUUUAUAUCUUAAAUGUCGGUAAAGAUAGCCUCUUCCUGAAAGCUAUUGCUUGUAGAUGAGUCCGCGUCUCAUUAGCUAGUUGGUAGGGUAACGGCCUACCAAGGCAACGAUGAGUAGCUGGUCUGAGAGGAUGAUCAGCCACACUGGAACUGGAACACGGUCCAGACUCCUACGGGAGGCAGCAGUGGGGAAUAUUGGGCAAUGGGCGCAAGCCUGACCCAGCAACGCCGUGUGAGGGAUGAAGGUCUUCGGAUUGUAAACCUCUGUCAGAAGGGAAGAAGUGCAUGAGGUCCAAUAGGCCUUAUGUUUGACGGUACCUUCAGAGGAAGCACCGGCUAACUCCGUGCCAGCAGCCGCGGUAAUACGGAGGGUGCAAGCGUUAUUCGGAAUCACUGGGCGUAAAGCGUGCGUAGGCGGCGAGGUAAGUCAGGUGUGAAAUCCCACGGCUCAACCGUGGAACUGCACUUGAAACUGCUUUGCUUGAGUACUGGAGGGGAUGGCGGAAUUCCUGGUGUAGGAGUGAAAUCCGUAGAUAUCAGGAGGAACACCAGUGGCGAAGGCGGCCAUCUGGACAGUAACUGACGCUGAGGUACGAAAGCGUGGGGAGCNAACAGGAUUANAUACCCUGGUAGUCCACGCUGUAAACGAUGGAUACUCGAUGUCGGGGCCUUGGAGCUUCCGUGUCNAAGUUAACGCAUUUAAGUAUCCCGCCUGGGG